rnacentral:rRNA from 1 species
GACGAACGCUGGCGGCGUGGAUUAGGCAUGCAAGUCGAACGGUAUCAUCCUUUCGGGGGUGAGAGAGUGGCGAACUGGUGAGUAACACGUAGGUUAUCUACCCUCAAAACGGGGACAACCCAGGGAAACUUGGGCUAAUACCGGAUGCGUGCAAGCAAUGUUUUGGCUGUUAAUGCUAUUCACGGAAGUGAGUGGUGUUAAUGGUUGAGAGCAUAAUUUGCAUAAAAGGUGGCGUAAGCUGCCGUUUGAGGAUGAGCCUGCGUCCUAUUAGUUAGUUGGUGAGGUAAUGGCUUACCAAGGCGAUGAUAGGUAGGCGGCCUUAAACGGGUGGUCGCCCACACUGGGAUUGAGAUACGGCCCAGACUCCUACGGGAGGCAGCAGUCGAGAAUAGUCUACAAUGGACGAAAAGUCUGAUAAGUGCGACGCCGCGUGAACGAAGAAACCUUUCGGGUGUAAAGUUCUUUUCUAUGUGAGCAGUCCUUUUAUAUGAAGAGUAUAAAGGGGGAGUUAAGCA